UUGUAAUCUGCUAGCUAUAAGGAAUAGUAGUUUUGAAUAAAUUGUAAAUGCCGAUUAGCCUAUGUCUUUUCCUCAUCAUUAUAUACGUUAUAUUAUAAACCGGGUAGUUUGGAUGCUGAUUUGCUAAAACAGCAUUUAGCUAUGUUUAUGUGUGACCAUAUACCAUGACUAUAAUGUUUAGCCUUUUCACCUUGGUAAAAAUGCGCCUUUUCACCUCGAUAUAAUGGCUGCAUCAACAAUAUUUCAACAUGCCGAUGUAGAAAAUACGCGGUUAGAUGAACUUGAGAGAAACCGAAAUGAAAACAACAUUGUAAAACAAACAAAGUGGGUACUUACCUACUUCACUGACUGGUGGGCAGAACAAGGGAUAUGUGAGUCUAGGAAUACAACAAAAAUGGAGCUGAACAUCAUUCUACGGCACUUUCAUGGUUCAGUGAGAAACAUGAAUGGUGAAGAAUAAGUGGUGUAAAGUACUUAAGUAAAAAUAAUUUAAAGUACUACUUCAUUCGUUUUGGGGGGUAUCUGUACUUUACUAUUCAUAUUUUUGACAACUUUUACUUUCACUUCACUACAUUCCUAAAGAAAAUUAUGUACAUUUUACUCGAUACAUUUUCCCUGACACCCAAAAGUACUCGUUACAUUUUGAAGGCUUAGCAGGACAAAAAAUGGUUAAAUAAUUCACACACUUAUCAAGACUUUUACUUGAGUAAUUUUCUAUUACUGUAUCUUUACUUUUACUCAAGUAUGACAAUUGGGUACUUUUUCCACCACUGCGAAUAAUAUGGAAUUAGCAGCUACGCUAGACAUAUCAACGACCCCCCUCUCAGUUUGUCAUGGAGUAUUCAGAAGGACACCGAAUUCACAACGAGCAACAAUGUGUCUGUCGGCGUAAUUAAAAAGUUGAGUAAAGAGGGACACAACAAAGCUGCCCACCAGUGAAUGGAUACUGUACAUAUGGUACAUAAAAGAGACAAUGGGAGUGAACACCCUUGCAGCAAUGCUGCCAAUGAUCUGCAAAAUAGCUGUCCUGUCGCAGAUUUACACAAACUACUGCCUCGAACCACCAUGAUCCAGAAACGGUCGGAUGCUUGACUAGUGGCACGAUAAAUACUGUCUUUCAGAGGACACAGAUUGGAAACCUGUCUUCAAAGUUCCUGGAGACCAAAUCUGGAAGCGGUGGAGCACUAUUCUCUCUGACAACACAGCAGCAGCUCCCCAGCAAAAAAAAAACGGAAUCCAUUUCCAGCAGCGUAGAGCCCAAUAAACGACACCAUGAGCAAACCAACAACAAACAAUAACGUGGGACAAUUUUAAGAAAUGGCAACAUUCAACAUUAAUAAAUAGGUGGCAUGUGUUAGUCACUCUAGAAGUGGCGCUAAUGCUUGCUAGCUAGCCUGUGGUUAUGUUGCAUAGCAACUAGUCAAGCAACAAGACUUUUACCGGACUACUUUUUCUGGUGGAAUGUAUUCAUUGUCAAUGUAUUGAUUAAAGCUACAUUUUCAAUUUAGAUGUGUAGUUCCUUGCCUUACUGUGUUGGCAACCGGUUUAUAAAAGCAAUACAGUGCCUUGCAAAAGUAUUCAUCCCCCUUGGUGUUUUUCGUAUUUUGUUGCAUUACAACCUGUAAUUAAAUUUUUAUUUGGAUUUCAUGUAAUGGCCAAACUGGUGAAGUGAAAUGUUAAAAAAAUAAAUAAACAGAAAAGUG
ensembl:lncRNA